GCUGGAAUGGCCGAGUCGUUAAGGCGAUAGAUUUGAAUCCCUGAGAUAAAAGGUGCUUUCCCUAUCUAUUACUCUAUGAGUGCGUAGGUUCAAAUCCUGCUUCCAGCG